rnacentral:rRNA from 1 species
UACAGAGGUCUCAAGCGUUGUUCGGAUUCAUUGGGCGUAAAGGGUGCGUAGGCGGCGCGGUAAGUCGGGUGUGGAAUCUCGGAGCUUAACUCCGAAACUGCAUUCGAUACUGCCUCGCUUGAGUACUGGAGAGGAGACUGGAAUUUACGGUGUAGCAGUGAAAUGCGUAGAUAAUCGUAAGGAAGACCAGUGGCGAAGGCGACUCUCUGGUCUGUAACUGACGCUGAGGCGCGAAAGCGUGGGGAGCAAACAGG